GACGGAGGGUGCUAGCGUUGUUCGGAAUCACUGGGCGUAAAGCGCGUGUAGGCGGUUCGAUAAGUCGAAUGUGAAAGCCCGAGGCUCAACCUCGGAAGUGCAUUCGAAACUGUCGGGCUUGAGUACGGGAGAGGGAAGUGGAAUUCCUGGUGUAGAGGUGAAAUUCGUAGAUAUCAGGAGGAACACCGGUGGCGAAGGCGGCUUCCUGGACCGAUACUGACGCUGAGACGCGAAAGCGUGGGGAGCAAACAGG
rnacentral:rRNA from 1 species